CCUACGGGAGGCAGCAGUGGGGAAUAUUGCACAAUGGGCGCAAGCCUGAUGCAGCAACGCCGCGUGAGGGACGACGGCCUUCGGGUUGUAAACCUCUUUUAGCAGGGAAGAAGCGAAAGUGACGGUACCUGCAGAAAAAGCACCGGCUAA
rnacentral:rRNA from 1 species